AACACAAAUGACAUCAGCACAAGAGCAGAUGCUGGCCAAGAUCACCCACAGGGAGGGGACAUAAAACUCAAGAAAUCUCGGGUGACUGACAGAACCUCGGCCCUGGCAACACCGGCCAUGAAGGACGCGCGCACACAAGGAGGAUCAACCCCUUUUCAGCUUCAAACCGGGUGUCCCUUCCUGCCCAUCCAGUUCAAAAAGGAGGAGACAGGGAAGGAACGGGGCAACCCUGUUAUGGUUUUGUGAUUCUUUUAUGAUUUUAACAGAGGGGAUGCCUUGUUUAGGAAUCCGGUAACAGUUCAGAAACAACGUGGAAAACUGAGAGUCGGGAAUCGAUGGAUGCCUACACCGGCUUGUCGCUGUGCAUCUGGAAAUCAGGAAGAUGGGAUUCCAAGAGCCAGGCCCGCUUCCUGACCGGGAGCCCAGACAGAGAUGAACUUCCUCAAUCAAGCGAUUCCCAUAGAGUUUCCAUUCUGUGCGCAGUGGAAGGUGCUGCAAGAGAAAAAUGACACUUGUUCCUUUUUGCUCCUUUCCCCUCACCAAAUGGACCAUUUCUUAAUAGCAACUGACGGAAUAUUCCGGUAGCAUAACAAGAACGGGUAAGACACAUUUGCU